CCCUUAGACGUUCUGGGCCGCACGCGCGCUACACUGACCAGUGCAACAAGCAUCCGUCCUUGGCCGACAGGCCCGGGCAAUCUUUGAACGCUGGUCGUGAUGGGGAUAGACUUUUGCAAUUUUUGGUCUUCAACGAGGAAUUCCUAGUAAACGCAAGUCAUCAACUUGCAUUGAUUACGUCCCUGCCCUUUGUACACACCGCCCGUCGCUCCUACAGAUUGAGCAGUCCGGUGAAUACUUCGGACCGUUUGCAUAGAUGGUUCGCCAUCUUUGCGAAUGGAAAGUCGAGUGAACCUUACUGCUUAGAUGAAGGAGAAGUCGUAACA
rnacentral:rRNA from 1 species